rnacentral:lncRNA from 10 species
GCAUGCAAGUGGCUGAGAGGCACACUUACUGCCCCUUCAUGAUUCACCUCUGCACUCAUGUCAUGGGCACGCUCUUAAGAGCUGCUGGCGCCCCACAACUGACCAGGGUGGUGUACUGGAGCCAGGCCCUUUCUGCCUAAGCAGGACACUCAAAGAGGCAGUCUUUGCCCUGCAGCCCUCCACUGGCCCAGCCAACACUCUCUCAGAGCUUAGACAUCUGCUUCUCAGAGCACCCAAACUGACAGGGUGUAUCCAGUAUAUUUGAUUCUGAAGCUAGAGAGACCCAGCUGGCCAUACACAUUGGGGAAUCAUUGACAGAUGGCAGCUGAGAUCUGAGAGCGGUUGACCUCACUUCACAAGGUUGAGUGGAAUUAGGAGGGACAAACUUCUGUGACAGGAGCCUGAGGAGCACCAAACAGACUUGCAACUUAUGUUUCCCUUUUAAUCACAAAG